UCCACAGCAGUAGGGGCCUGGAUGUAAUAUUUACUACUAUUUGAAAAGGAAACAUUGAGCAGAGAAAAACGGACAUCGCCUUUAAUGCAGUAGUUCACAAAUGGAGGGUCAGAACCUAUCGGCGAGCUGGGAGAAACGGAGGAAUCCUGACUGUCGAUGGCCUUGCACUCUGCACUCACACAGCAACCGUUUCCACAAGUGAAGGGCGACCGUCUGUCUUUAUGCAAGCUUGAAGGAGCGCCACUCUCCCCCG